rnacentral:rRNA from 1 species
CAAACUCCUACGGGAGGCAGCAGUAGGGAAUCUUCCACAAUGGACGCAAGUCUGAUGGAGCAACGCCGCGUGAGUGAAGAAGGCUUUCGGGUCGUAAAACUCUGUUGUUGGAGAAGAAUGGUCGGCAGAGUAACUGUUGUCGGCGUGACGGUAUCCAACCAGAAAGCCACGGCUAACUACGUGCCAGCAGCCGCGGUAAUACGUAGGUGGCAAGCGUUAUCCGGAUUUAUUGGGCGUAAAGCGAGCGCAGGCGGUUUUUUAAGUCUGAUGUGAAAGCCCUCGGCUUAACCGAGGAAGCGCAUCGGAAACUGGGAAACUUGAGUGCAGAAGAGGACAGUGGAACUCCAUGUGUAGCGGUGAAAUGCGUAGAUAUAUGGAAGAACACCAGUGGCGAAGGCGGCUGUCUGGUCUGUAACUGACGCUGAGGCUCGAAAGCAUGGGUAGCGAACAGGAUUAGAUACCCUGGUAGUCCAUGCCGUAAACGAUGAAUGCUAGGUGUUGGAGGGUUUCCGCCCUUCAGUGCCGCAGCUAACGCAUUAAGCAUUCCGCCUGGGGAGUACGACCGCAAGGUUGAAACUCAAAGGAAUUGACGGGGGCCCGCACAAGCGGUGGAGCAUGUGGUUUAAUUCGAAGCAACGCGAAGAACCUUACCAGGUCUUGACAUCUUUUGAUCACCUGAGAGAUCAGGUUUCCCCUUCGGGGGCAAAAUGACAGGUGGUGCAUGGUUGUCGUCAGCUCGUGUCGUGAGAUGUUGGGUUAAGUCCCGCAACGAGCGCAACCCUUAUGACUAGUUGCCAGCAUUUAGUUGGGCACUCUAGUAAGACUGCCGGUGACAAACCGGAGGAAGGUGGGGAUGACGUCAAAUCAUCAUGCCCCUUAUGACCUGGGCUACACACGUGCUACAAUGGAUGGUACAACGAGUUGCGAGACCGCGAGGUCAAGCUAAUCUCUUAAAGCCAUUCUCAGUUCGGACUGUAGGCUGCAACUCGCCUACACGAAGUCGGAAUCGCUAGUAAUCGCGGAUCAGCACGCCGCGGUGAAUACGUUCCCGGGCCUUGUACACACCGCCCGUCACACCA